UCACUGUGGCUGGCCCCGCCCACCAUAGUCUGAGUAGUCUGCGUGUAUCAGGCCAGUUUCCUCUUCCUGCUCCCUUACUGGUCCUCAUUGUGACUGCACUGGGCUGCCUGCUCCCACCUCACUGUCUCAGGGUCGGCUCCUGCUCUUCAGGAAGGAGCAGUGAAUCAACAAUCUCCACAUAGCCACUUCUCCACCCACACAGCUGAUGGCUUUCUUGUUUACAUAUUUGCGGACUGUCCCCGAUUUUGAGGCGCCCGCGGUGAGGGCCGGGGAGAUAAGUCGGAGGUAUCCUGCAGCUGGCCCGGCAAAUUGACGCGUCACCAGGGAAACGGGACGCGUCGCCAAGGUAACUACAGCGGAUGCCGCCUGACGUCACCGGACGUGACGCACUCGCGACUGCGGCUGGCGGAAGCUCACGCCGGACCCGGCUCUCCCGUGGGGUAGCGACUUGUCUCCUAUUUAGCCGGCGCCAGUAUACAUUCCUUUUCCAUGAUCCGGAACAAGCAGACACCGCUGCGCCAGAGAGGCAAACCUUGCAGAUGUAGCAAAUGAAGACUUGGGGCAACGGAUUUCAUGGUGAACUUUCAAAGGCAUAAAAUCAAAAUAAAGCUACAA